GUGCUCGCUUUGGCAGCACAUAUACUAAAAUUGGAAUGGAAGAGAGAAGAUUAGCAUGGCCCCUGCACAAGGAUGAUGUGCAAAUUCAUGACAUGUUCUGUAUUUAA
ensembl:snRNA U6 U6 spliceosomal RNA